AUCUUUUUGUUUCGGUCCCGUGUGGCUCAGUUGGUAGAGCAUGGUGUUUGCAACGCCAGGGUUGUGGGUUCGAUUCCCACGGGGGACCAGUAUGGAGAAAAAAAAAGUAUGAAAUGUAUGCAUUUGCUACUAGGACCUGAGCUGUAGGACCAUGCCUCAGGACUACCUGGCCUGAUGACUCCUUGUUGUCCCCAGUCUACCCGGUGGUGCUGCUGCCCCAGUUUCAACUCUUCUGCCUGCGGCUAUGGAACCCUGACCUGUUCCCCGGACAUGCUACCUUGUCCCGGACCUGCUGUUUCGACUCUCUCUUUCUACCGCACCUGCUGUAUCUGACUCUGAAUGAUUGGCUAUGAAAAGCCAACUGGCAUUUACUCCUGUGGUGCUGACUGUAGCACCCUCUACAACCACUGUGAUUAUUAUUAUUUGACCCUGCUGGUCAUCUAUGAACGUUUGAACAUCUUGGCCAUCUACUAUUAUAAUCUCUACCCGGCAUAGCUAGAAGAGGACUGGCCACCCCUCAGAGCCUGGUUCCUCUCUAGGUUUCUUCCUAGGUUCCUGCCUUUCUAGGGAAUUUUAUUUGUGUCCCUGUCUUUGUCAAAGUGGGCACUGCUUAUCACAGGGCGGCAUCAGCUCUCACCUAAAAAGCUCAUAUGCCACUGGUUGAAAGAAAUUGUCAUUGUUUUUGGGCAGAAUUAUGUGAUGUUUUAUGUGUUGUUGGUGUGUCUUGGUCAGUUUAGCUCAGAAAAUGUUGUCCUGCCUAAUUAUUUGGCCCGGCCCUGCACUGACAGGCAGCGCACUGCCAAU
rnacentral:tRNA from 1 species